rnacentral:rRNA from 1 species
AUUAGACUACCCCCGUAGUCCAGGGUGUAAACGCUGCAGACUUGGUUGGUUUGGGAAAGUUCCGUUUUGGGGGCAUUCAGUGCCGGAGAGAAGUUGUUAAGUCUGCUACGUUGGGAGUACGUCCGCAAGGAUAGAAACUUAAAGGAAUUAGCGGGGGAGCACCGCAACGGGAGGAGCGUGCGGUUUAAUUGGAUUCAACACCGUAAAACUCACCAGGGAAGACUGUUACAUGAAAGCCGAGAUGAAGACUCUGCUAGAUUUUCAG